UACGUAGGGUGCGAGCGUUGUCCGGAAUUAUUGGGCGUAAAGAGCUCGUAGGCGGUGUGUCGCGUCGGCCGUGAAAACCUGGGGUUCAACUCUGGGCGUGCGGUCGAUACGGGCAUCACUUGAGUUCGGCAGGGGAGACUGGAAUUCCUGGUGUAGCGGUGAAAUGCGCAGAUAUCAGGGGGAACACCGAUGGCGAAGGCAGGUCUCUGGGCUGACACUGACGCUCAUGCACGAAAGCGUGGGGAGCAAACAGG
rnacentral:rRNA from 1 species